rnacentral:rRNA from 1 species
AGUGAACGCUGGCGGUAGGCCUAACACAUGCAAGUCGAACGGCAGCACAGUAAGAGCUUGCUCUUACGGGUGGCGAGUGGCGGACGGGUGAGGAAUACAUCGGAAUCUACUUUUUCGUGGGGGAUAACGUAGGGAAACUUACGCUAAUACCGCAUACGACCUACGGGUGAAAGCAGGGGAUCUUCGGACCUUGCGCGAUUGAAUGAGCCGAUGUCGGAUUAGCUAGUUGGCGGGGUAAAGGCCCACCAAGGCGACGAUCCGUAGCUGGUCUGAGAGGAUGAUAAGCCACACUGGAACUGAGACACGGUCAAGACGCCUACGGGAGGCAGCAGUGGGGAAUAUUGGACAAUGGGCGCAAGCCUGAUCCAGCCAUACCGCGUGGGUGAAGAAGGCCUUCGGGUUGUAAAGCCCUUUUGUUGGGAAAGAAAAGCAGCAGGUUAAUACCCCGCUGUUCUGACGGUACCCAAAGAAUAAGCACCGGCUAACUUCGUG